rnacentral:rRNA from 1 species
CCUAGGGAGGGCAGCAGUGGGGAAUAUUGGACAAUGGGCGAAAGCCUGAUCCAGCCAUGCCGCGUGUGUGAAGAAGGCCUUCGGGUUGUAAAGCACUUUCAGUGGGGAAGAAAGCCUUGGGGCUAAUACCCUCGAGGAAGGACAUCACCCACAGAAGAAGCACCGGCUAACUCCGUGCCAGCAGCCGCGGUAAUACGGAGGGUGCGAGCGUUAAUCGGAAUUACUGGGCGUAAAGCGCGCGUAGGCGGUCUGAUAAGCCGGUUGUGAAAGCCCCGGGCUCAACCUGGGAACGGCAUCCGGAACUGUCAGGCUAGAGUGCAGGAGAGGAAGGUAGAAUUCCCGGUGUAGCGGUGAAAUGCGUAGAGAUCGGGAGGAAUACCAGUGGCGAAGGCGGUCUUCUGGACUGACACUGACGCUGAGGUGCGAAAGCGUGGGUAGCAAACAGGAUUAGAUACCCGUGUAGUC